rnacentral:rRNA from 1 species
AUCGGACGGAGAUCGUCGAAGACUGGUAUGACUUAGUGGCGGACGGGUGAGUAAUGUAUGAGCAACCUGCCUUUCAGAGGGGGACAACAGUUGGAAACGACUGCUAAUACCGCGUAACGUAUUUAGGAGGCAUCUCCUGAAUACCAAAGGAGCAAUCCGCUGAAAGAUGGGCUCAUAUCUGAUUAGCUGUUGGCGGGGUAACGGCCCACCAAGGCGACGAUCAGUAGCCGGACUGAGAGGUUGAACGGCCACAUGGGACUGAGAUACGGCCCAGACUCCUACGGGAGGCAGCAGUGGGGAAUAUUGGGCAAUGGGCGAAAGCCUACGACCCAGCAACGCCGCGUGAAGGAAGAAGGUCUUCGGAUUAGUAAACUUCUUUUAUGAGGGACGAAGGACGUGACGGUACCUCAUGAAUAAGCCACGGCUAACUACGUGCCAGCAGCCGC